AGGAUUAGAUACCCGGGUAGUCCACGCCGUAAACGAUGGCCACUAGGUGUGGGGGGUAUCGACCCCCUCCGCGCCGCAGCUAACGCGUUAAGUGGCCCGCCUGGGGAGUACGGCCGCAAGGCUAAAACUCAAAGGAAUUGACGGGGGCCCGCACAAGCAGCGGAGCGUGUGGUUUAAUUCGACGCAACGCGAAGAACCUUACCAGGGCUUGACAUGUCCCGUUCAGCCGGUGAAAGCCGGUGGCCCGCGAGGGCGAGGGAUGCAGGUGCUGCACGGCUGUCGUCAGCUCGUGCCGUGAGGUGUUGGGUUAAGUCCCGCAACGAGCGCAACCUCUGGUGCCAGUUGGAUGUUUCUGGCGCGACUGCCGGUGGCAAGCCGGAGGAAGGCGGGGAUGACGUCAAGUCAGCGUGGCCCUUACGUCCUGGGCGACACACACGCUACAAUGGCCGGUACAGCGCGCGGCGACCGUGCGAGCGGAAGCGAAUCGCUCAAAGCCGGCCCCAGUUCAGAUUGCAGGCUGAAACCCGCCUGCAUGAAGGCGGAGUUGCUAGUAACCGCGGGCCAGCACACCGCGGUGAAUACGUUCCCGGGCCUUGUACACACCGCCCGUCACGUCAUGGGAGGUGGCAACGCCUGAAGCCGCCAGGCGAACCCCUUGUGGGAAGCCGGUGUCGAGGGCGGGGCUGCUGACUGGGACGAAGUCGUAACAAG
rnacentral:rRNA from 1 species